UACAGCUUAAAAUACAAGUGUGAUGCCGUAGUGGGAAGGCUCUGAGCUUCAAUCUACAACCCUAGGGGCUCAGCGUAGAUGGGGAACUUGAAGCCAUACACACAUCCAUCUCUCUCUUGUUUAACUUGAAAUGUCUUUCAGGUGAACCAGACGGCCCUUCAAACAGAGGACACCUUCAAACAGAGGACUGUACUCUACAAAGUGGGACGCAGGUGGCGCUGUGGGUUAAACCACAGAGCCUAGGACUUGCCAAUCGGAAGGUCGGCGGUUCGAAUCCCCGCGACGGGGGUGAGCUCCCAUUGCUCGGUCCCUGCUCCUGCCAACCUAGCAGUUCAAAAGCCCCUCAAAGUACAAGUAGAUAAAUAGGUACCGCUCCAGCGGGAAGGUAAAUGGCGUUUCCGUGCGCUGCUCUGGUUCGCCAGAAGCGGCUUAGUCAUGCUGACCACAUGACCCAGAAGCUGUAGGCCAGCUCCCUCGGCCAUUAAAGCGAGAUGAGCACCGCAACCCCAGAGUCGGUCACGACUGGACCUAAUGGUCAGGGGUCCCUUUACCUUUACUCUACAAAGUAGGACCCAUGGUGAUCCUAUUAAGAGUGCUGCAGGUGGGAGAUCGACAUUUUAAAAUACAGUCGUACCUCCGCUUACAUAUCCCUCUGGAUACGUAAACUUCAGGAUGCGAACGCAGCAAACCGGAAGUAUUUUUCCGGGUUUCGCAGUGCGCGCAUGCGCAGAAGCGGUCCUCCAGUUGCAAAUUCCUCGGGAUGCAGCCGGACCUCCGGAACGGAUCCCGUUUGCAACCGGAGGUACCACUGUAACCUUCUAUGGGGGGAAAUGAAGGGGAAACACUCCCUGAAAGCAAAAAAUAUCUAGCAUGUCAGGGAGAAAAGUUCUAGACCAAACCAUCCAUUCUACCCACAAGGGUAGACAUCCACUCAUCAAAUUUUACAGGUCGUUGGGCACUUGUUGACUCUGCUAUCUCCUUCCCACCUAAUUCUGCUGUUUUAUAACUUUAAAACAACAAGCCAAACACUCUCUCUCCUGCUGAUGUUCAGGGGAUGAGUGCCAUUGCUUACAUAGCAGGCAGAUGAGGAAAAAGCACUUGGCAGCCAGUGAAGCCAAAAAUUAUGGAAGGAAUUCAAUGUUGUGCUGAUUUGAAAUCACUUAGCAGUGUGCCAGUUGUGCAAGAGAAGUCAUGGGAAGUCGCGAUGGCUCUCGGCACUCUUCUGCUGUAGGUCUGAUCCUGCCCGCUCUGUGCAACCUCUUGCCCCAGCAAGCUUCCACUGGUCCAGCUGUUGCAACACAUUUCAUAUCAUGCCUCUGUUACUCUCAACCUUAUGCCAGCGCAGCAGCCCUCGCACCGGUGCUCAAAGAAUGCCCUUUUACCAAAUCACAUCUCUUAAACUCUGCAGAGCACCCCUAAAGCUGCAAUAUGGAGUACAGGGUCAUAUUUAAGGUGCUGGUUUUGACCUUUAAAGCCCUUCACGGCCUAGGACCCUCGUACCUACAGGACUGCCUCUCCCAGUAUGCCCCAUGGAGGACCUUAAGGUCCAUAAAUAGCAACACCCUAAAGGUCCCGGGCCCUAAGGAAGUCAGAUUAGCCUCAACCAGAGGCAGGGCCUUUUCAACACUGGCCCCGGGCCUGGUGGAACGCUCUGUCUCAUGAGACCAGGGCCCUGCAGGAUCUGAUUUCUUUCUGCAGGGCCUGUAAGACAGAAUUGUUCCACCUGGCCUUUGGCUUGGAAUCAACUUGAUCCCUUUUUCCUUUUUUCUUUCUCCUUCUGUGAUGGAACUCCUAUUUGGGGACUUCCCUGGCUUUUUUCUGGCCCAUGUAGGACAGUCUGGAUAGUUGGCCUUGGUGAAGAUUUGACGUUUUCAUCCCUGAAAUGUUUUUGAUUUGAGUUCCUCCUGAAAUGAGGCUGCAUUUUAAUGUUGUACUAAAUCUUGUUUUUAUGUUGUAUUUUAAUCAAUUGUUUUUACCUGGUGUUAGGCUUCCUGAGCCCAGUCUUGGCUGGGGAGGGCAGUGUAUAAAUAAAAUUUAUUAUUAUUACUAAGAUCGUGACACAUUUUGGUCCCGUGUGCAUGAAAGCAAGUUGGGGCUGUCCCACGGAAGAUGGAGCAAGCUGGUUUUCUCCUGCUCCAGAGGCUAGGACUCAAACCAAUGGAUCCAAGAUGCAAGAAAGGAAAUUCCAGCUAAACAUCAGGAAGAACCUUCUGACAGUAAGAGCUGUUUGACGGUGGAACAGACUCCCUCGGGAAAGUUGUGGACUUUCCUUCCUUGGAGGUUUUUAAGCAGAGGUUGCACGACCAUCUGUCCUGGGUGCUUUAGUUGAGAUUUCUGCAUUGUAGGGUGUUGGACCAGAUGACCCUCAGAGACCCUGCCAGCUCUACGAUUCUAUGAUCAAAUGCAAAAGAAAGAAGAAAAAAUUAACACGUCUCUAAACCCCACAGCUAAUUCUCCCCUGGCCUCCUCGCUGGCCCAAGUAGGACCAAUUCAGCCAGCUAGCCCUGGGGAUUAUCUAAUUGAUUUUUGAUUUUUGAAUUUACUGUUAUUCAUGUUUUUAUACUGUAUUUUAUGCUGCUUUUAUAAUUAAGUGUUUUAAAGUGUUUUAAAUUUGUUGUUUGCCGCCCUGAGCCCAGUUUUUGAACCUGGAAGGGCGGGGUAUAAUAAUAAUAAUAAUAAUAAUAAUAAUAAUAAUAAUAAUAAUAAUUUAUUUAUACCCCGCCCAUCUGGCUGAGUUUCCCCAGCCACUCUAGGCGGCUUCCAAUCAAGUGUUAAAAACAAUACAGCAU